CGUAGCCUUAUUUCCCUCAAAUUCGCAAACCUAACAUCUCCACCUUCAAGUUCGAUGUUCCAAGCUUUUCACCUGAUCCUUACGACCUGCCAUAGCAUGUUUAUGCAACCCAAUUUCGAUCAAAGCUCCUUAAUUUCUAAAACCUAACCUUAAAACCCUAACUUUAAGGUGUAAACCCAAAUCGAAGAUGGAGGCUGCGUAAGCACCCAUCAAGGGCUGAAAUCAUUCAAGUACAUCCACCCCAUGCAAUUCGAUCCCAAGUUCUUCAAUUCGAAUCAUGAACUCCGUAAAGCUAAAUUUGGGGCUUUUAUAGCUCGGAUCCAAAUUGGUCCAAAUCAAAGGGCACAAUUUGGGCACGAAUUGGGCAAAACAUAGAUCAAAACCUUCAAAGUUCAAAUUGAAGUGGGAAUGAGGUUUCUGGCGAUGUUUUCUCGUUUUUGCUCUUAAGUUAUGGAGACAUUACCUGUAUGGCACCAAGUGUGUGACCAUGAGAGCCUAAAAUACAUAUUUAAUGUAUUAAAUUUUAUUAAACCCUAUUUUUAUGGUUUCCUAGGGUGUGUAUUUUGUUCACCAGAGGAAACCAAGACUGACUAAUAGUUUAUUUCCCCUUUAGGGGUUAUAAAUACAAAUGUUCCUCGUUUCUUUUUGUUUCCUAGGGUGUGUAUUAUGUUCACCCGAGGAAACCAAGAUGAACAACCGUGUCAAAACAGUAAAUAUACCAGGUGCUGCUGAUAAACCUUAAACCUCUCCUUCCCAAACCUUAAAUCAGUUCAUCCUCAAAUGAACCCUAGUUUUAGCGAAAUCAAAGUUCCUUUGGUCGCUAGAAUCCCUUUGGUAACGAAGAUCGCUCUGGAAGGAUUAUUACGCCAAGCUUCUUUGUCCCUUGUGUGUGGGAAUGGAAUUCUAAUCGGGAAUGUAAGCAGAAAUUUUGGUCGUCCUUAUUAUAAAUGCCCAGGGGUUCUGAUAAGGAAAAUGGAAUCCCUUCUACUCAUUUGCGGAUGAACUUAAGCAGUGUCCCUGCGGGCGUGGCUAUUGCCGCACCGUGUUUCCUAAGGGAAUAAAACAUUGGUGCUGUUGUGUUAGAAGGGCUUUCAUAUUCAAGUAUGUUUGUUUAUAGAGUUGUAUUAAGUUCAUGUGUGCAUGGGCAGGGAGAUGGUGCCUGCAGUUUCUUUGCGAGAAUCGAGUCCACCUUCGAGUUCCACUCCCCCGCCACAUUGUCAGUCUCCUUCCAAGCCGAGCCCCGACUCGAUUUCAGUCUUCCUUCCUGGUCUCCUUCCAGUAGCCAAGAAGCACAUGUGCUAAAGAAGAAAAAUGAGUUACUUUUCCAAAACACUAUGCAAGGGUUAAAGGUUUUGGAAGCCAAAUUGGAUUUGUUGGCACGACCUCAGGAUCCUUCUCAAUCAACUGCAGCAAUUCGUGAGCUUAUAGCUUCAAUUGAUGAAAUUACUGUUGAUGAUUAAUGACCUCUUUGUUCAGUACACUUUGAACUUUUUUUACUAGUUUUUUUAUGUUAUCAUUUAUAUUUUCUUUAUU